rnacentral:rRNA from 1 species
AACGAACGCUGGCGGCAGGCCUAACACAUGCAAGUCGAACGGGCACCUUCGGGUGUCAGUGGCAGACGGGUGAGUAACGCGUGGGAACCUACCCAGUGGUACGGAAUAACUCGGGGAAACCCGAGCUAAUACCGUAUACGCCCCGAGGGGGAAAGAUUUAUCGCCAUUGGAUGGGCCCGCGUCGGAUUAGCUGGUUGGUGAGGUAACAGCUCACCAAGGCGACGAUCCGUAGCUGGUCUGAGAGGAUGAUCAGCCACACUGGGACUGAGACACGGCCCAGACUCCUACGGGAGGCAGCAGUGGGGAAUAUUGGACAAUGGGCGAAAGCCUGAUCCAGCCAUGCCGCGUGAGUGAAGAAGGCCCUAGGGUUGUAAAGCUCUUUCGGCGGGGAAGAUAAUGACGGUACCCGCAGAAGAAGCCCCGGCUAACUCCGUGCCAGCAGCCGCGGUAAUACGGAGGGGGCUAGCGUUGUUCGGAAUUACUGGGCGUAAAGCGCACGUAGGCGGACUGCUAAGUCGGGGGU